AUGACCGGAAGUAAGGACUUGGUGGUGGACGUGCACAAGGUUCCAUCUAUGCCCACCAAUGUCGAGUGGGGUGACGCCUCAUCUUCUAAGGUAUUGGGACUUGGCAAGGUGGUCAUCUCUCAUGAUCUCACGAUCGAGAAGGUCAUGCUUGUUGAGUCCCUUGCAUACAAUUUACUUUCCGUUCGUCAACUUACUAUCAUGGGCUCUUGUUUGUCAGUCAUCUUCUCCACCAGAUUCACAGCGGAUAGAGCCUACACGAAACUUGCCAUAGUGCAACACAGGAGUGCAUAUGUCUUAAGGAUCUACCAAUGA
rnacentral:rRNA from 1 species